AGAGGUGGCAAGAGACUCUGUCAUUGCCCUUGCCCUCUGCGGUGGUGUAGGUGCCUCUGCUGCCAGCACAAGACUGGACCUGUUUCUGUGGUCGGGGAACACGGAGGGCUGCCAAGAGCUGAUGACUGCCAAGGAUGGCAAUGUAACACUUUUUCGUCCGCUGGGAGCCUCAUGUUUCUGUAAAAUUUGUAUAAACCUGGAAAUCCAAAGAGAAGUUUUAAAAAUGUAGCUUCAAAUGAAUGAGAAGAAUGAAUGGAUAUAUGAAGAAAAAAAAAAACCUGUGUAAAGGAAUAUUAAGAAACAAGGAAAUCCUUACAUAAAAUAACCUUCCAAACUAAUGGGAAUGGAUCUCUUGUGAUUUUAAAUAUAUCCCAGUACUGUGCUAACGCAUGCAAAGGAUGAAGGAAACAAGUUACAAAUGGAGAGAGUGUCAAAUUCUCAAAUCAAGACAGAAUAAUUCAUCCUAAGAGAUAAUUUAUACCGACUAAGCUGUCUGAGGCUUUGGAGAUCAGCUUGUGGCAUGUGUUUCUCUACAGCUUGCAUGGUGGACCACAACAUAGUAUAUAGAUGAUUCAUGGGCUGGAGACUUUCUGCACAUGCAGGGUCCGAGGGGGGUUGGCUCGACUACAGAACAAUUUUUAACAUUCCUUUGCACCUUAUGUCUUGGGCUUCUUUUCAGUGGUUUCAAACUCUGACUUCUCAAUAGCUGAACAAGAUAUUAACAGGAUAAAUUGCUCACUGCAUGUAAGCAAAUUACAGGAGAGAUGUGACUUAUGAAAGCAGUUGUGUCUCUUACGUGCUUAAACUCCAGCUAUAAUGUUGGU